UCAGGCCUGGGAACUCAUAGAGCAAAGGACAGCCAUUCAGAGUUGCAUCACGAGUCAGAGCUGGGUGGGCACUGAGUAUUGAUAGCUCAGACCCCUGAACAGAAGGUCACAGGGUAUGGUGAAGUGUAUCUGUCAUUCCAGCACUUCCCACACAAAAGCAGGAGGACCAAGUUUAUGGUUCUUCUUAACUGAAUAGUGAGUUUGAAGCCAGCCUAGCCAACAUAGCAGAGAGCAGACUACGGAGACAUGCCAGAGCAAUGGAAACCAGAAAUGAGGUAACUGGAGUGUCCGUGUUGAGAGAAGCCAGACGCAGGCAGCACCCCUGAGUUCCAAAGGAAAGGAGUCUGUGUGCUGCUCAUAAACUUGCAGCAGGCACUGGGACACCCCUCAUUUCAGACGUGG
rnacentral:lncRNA from 1 species